rnacentral:rRNA from 1 species
UACGAAGGGGGCUAGCGUUGCUCGGAAUCACUGGGCGUAAAGGGUGCGUAGGCAGGUCUUUAAGUCAGGGGUGAAAUCCUGGAGCUCAACUCCAGAACUGCCUUUGAUACUGAAGAUCUUGAGUUCGGGAGAGGUGAGUGGAACUGCGAGUGUAGAGGUGAAAUUCGUAGAUAUUCGCAAGAACACCAGUGGCGAAGGCGGCUCACUGGCCCGAUACUGACGCUGAGGCACGAAAGCGUGGGGAGCAACAGG